CGCAACCACUUCUUCCCAUGCCGUGCACUACGGCAUGGGAAGAAGUGGUUGCGG
rnacentral:pre_miRNA from 1 species